UAGGGAAUCUUCCGCAAUGGACGCAAGUCUGACGGAGCAACGCCGCGUGAGUGAAGAAGGAUUUCGGUUCGUAAAACUCUGUUGUUAGAGAAGAACAGCGCAUAGAGUAACUGUUAUGCGUGUGACGGUAUCUAACCAGAAAGCUACGGCUAACUACGUGCCAGCAGCCGCGGUAAUACGUAGGUGGCAAGCGUUGUCCGGAUUUAUUGGGCGUAAAGCGAGCGCAGGCGGUCAAUUAAGUCUGAUGUGAAAGCCCCCGGCUCAACCGGGGAGGGUCAUUGGAAACUGGUUGACUUGAGUGCAGAAGAGGAGAGUAGAAUUCCAUGUGUAGCGGUGAAAUGCGUAGAUAUAUGGAGGAACACCAGUGGCGAAGGCGACUCUCUGGUCUGUAACUGACGCUGAGGUUCGAAAGCGUGGGUAGCAAACAGG
rnacentral:rRNA from 1 species